AUGAAAAGCUUCUAUGAGAAAGUAAGGAUCAAGAUUGCCUGUAGAAAUCCAGCUAAAAUUUUGUUUGACAGAAUUAUGGAGAUGACGAAGAAAUUAUACAUUCUAUCUUUCACUAUGGAAGGCUUUAAACAUAUAGGAGUUGAUGACCCUAAUGGUGACAAUGGACCUGCUGACAUCUCUGUGGAUAAGGAUAACAAGGAACUGGGGAGUGAGGAACUUGAUAAAGUUCUUCGGGAAGAUGGAGAGAUGAUAUUGACCUUCCUAAUAAAGCUACCACCUCUAAGAACUCGUCUGCAUAUAAAGCAACAAGAAUAG
rnacentral:rRNA from 1 species